rnacentral:rRNA from 1 species
UACGGGGGGAGCAAGCGUUGUUCGGAUUUACUGGGCGUAAAGGGCUCGUAGGCGGUUGUGACAAGUCACUUGUGAAAUCUCCGGGCUUAACUCGGAACGGCCAAGUGAUACUGUCGGACUAGAGUACAGAAGGGGCAACUGGAAUUCUCGGUGUAGCGGUGAAAUGCGUAGAUAUCGAGAGGAACACCUGCGGCGAAGGCGGGUUGCUGGGCUGAUACUGACGCUGAGGCGCGAAAGCCAGGGGAGCGAACGGG